rnacentral:rRNA from 1 species
UACGUAGGGACCAAGCGUUGUUCGGAUUUACUGGGCUUAAAGGGCGCGUAGGUGGUUGAUCAAGUCUGGGGUGAAAUCUUUCGGCUUAACCGGAAAAGUGCCUUGGAUACUGAUCAGCUGGGAGGGAGGGUAGGGGCAGUUGGAACUUCCGAGUGGAGACGGUGAAAUGCGUUGAUAUUGGAAGGAACGCCGGUGGCGAAAGCGAGCUGCUGGACCUCUUCUGACACUGAGGCGCGGAAAGCUAGGGGAGGCAAACCGGG